AACGAACGCUGGCGGCAGGCUUAACACAUGCAAGUCGAACGCCCCGCAAGGGGAGUGGCAGACGGGUGAGUAACGCGUGGGAACAUACCCUUUUCUACGGAAUAGCUCUGGGAAACUGGAAUUAAUACCGUAUACGCCCUACGGGGGAAAGAUUUAUCGGGGAAGGAUUGGCCCGCGUUGGAUUAGCUAGUUGGUGGGGUAAAGGCCUACCAAGGCGACGAUCCAUAGCUGGUCUGAGAGGAUGAUCAGCCACAUUGGGACUGAGACACGGCCCAAACCCCUACGGGAGGCAGCAGUGGGGAAUAUUGGACAAUGGGCGCAAGCCUGAUCCAGCCAUGCCGCGUGAGUGAUGAAGGCCUUAGGGUUGUAAAGCUCUUUCACCGAUGAAGAUAAUGACGGUAGUCGGAGAAGAAGCCCCGGCUAACUUCGUG
rnacentral:rRNA from 1 species